UACGUAGGGGGCAAGCGUUAUCCGGAUUUAUUGGGCGUAAAGGGAACGCAGGCGGUCUUUUAAGUCUGAUGUGAAAGUCCGCGGCUCAACCGUGGAAUUGCAGUUGAAACUGGAGGCCUUGAGUGCACACAGGGGUGCCGGAAUUCAUGGUGUAGCGGUGAAAUGCUUAGAUAUCAUGAAGAACUCCGAUCGCGAAGGCAAGUGUCCGGGGUGCAACUGACGCUGAGGCUCGAAAGUGCGGGUAUCAAACAGG
rnacentral:rRNA from 1 species